CUAGCGAGUACUAACAUAUGGGUAACCCAUUAACUAGAGCUCAAAAUUUCACAUACUGAAUUACUAGCCCGACUUUAAAAGUUACUCGUCACCAUAAGCUCAUGAUUUAUUUAAAUUUAGUUUUGGUGGUUACAUGGAAUGUCAAUAUGUUCAUUAAUGUAUUGUAUAUAUGGUGCGAAUGCAGUGUGUGAAUAAAGAGCUAGAUUUAAGUGGACAGGCAUUUGGUGUGUACAUAUAUUUGUGAUGGCUCACUCGGUACAAGACAUGUGACGGCAAGGGAGCUGUAUAAAGGUAAGCAUAUAAUGAGUGCUCUCUCAAUAUAAAGGUGUUGUGGUGUUUGUAUUGUCCUGUCUGUAAAAUAAAUUUGAAGAAUCUGACUGUAGUUAUAUGUGGAGUGUGUGUUUAAAGUACAUAUAGUAAUUGACCAUCAACACUACCCACUCUGGAGUAGUCCUUUACACUUGAAAAGUUAGAUGACUGAUGAGGACACAUUCCAUCGUUCAUGCUGUAACCUCUUUCCCUGUGUAAUCUUUCUGCACUACUAGGUUACAGGGCAGAGGGAACAAGAGCAAGCAGAACUUAUGAUCACAGGCAGAGGGGUGAGUAAAAGUACAGUAUAGAGGCUGCUCUGUUUCCUAAUCAAUAUAUAAAGCUUAAAAGAACACAAACAUUAAUAAAACAUGUUUGUAUUCUAACUGUUCUGAGACCCACAUGUGAAGGUUUGAAAGGUAUUACUUAACAUUCAAACCAAAAAAAAAAAAAAAAUCUAGAUAGUACUUGUGCUCCCACAUAACGUGCCGGUAUCUGGGUCAGCGCUAAAGACCCAAAAUCACAUAAUACAAAAAUACCAAAGGAUACCACACUCAAAUUGGAAGGAAUGAUAAUUAAAUUAAAAUUUAUUAACACGGCUUAAUAAAAUUAGAUAAAGUAUUAGUCUAUCCCAUACAAUGUUAGAUAUACGUUGCAAGGCAAUGAUUUCCCCGCCAUAAUAGUGCAAAAGGAAACUAAAGUGCUAAGUGCCUAAUCACCAUAAAUACAGCCUGACCAGUACAUUAUAGUAGGUUAUUCACUGUCUCGCCUCCCUGCUUUCAGCUGAGCUCUUCAGGUGGGGACUCCCAGAAAAUACAACACACUGCCUGCCAAUGAUCUUUUGUAAGAGGGUAAAGGGACACUAUAGUCACCAGAACAACUACAGCUUAUUGAAUUGGUUCUGAUGAGUAGAAUCAUUACCUUCAGGCUUUUUGCUGUAAACACUGUCUUUUCAGAGAAAAAAGACAGUGUUUACACUACAGCCUAGUGAUAACACCACUAGCCACUCCUCAGAUAGCUGCUAGAGAUGCUUCCUGGGUCAUGGCUGCCUAAAAUGCAUCCAAACAUUCAGUGUCUCCUCCCUCUGCAUGCAGACACUAAACUUUCCUCAUAGAGAUUCACUGAUUCAAUUCAUCUCUAUGAGGAGAUGCUGAUUGGCCAGGGCUGUGUUUGAAUUGUGCUGGAGGGCCUCACAUAGCGUGAGGGCAUCCGGCGUAGUUUAAAACACUUUUCGUGUUUUAAGAACACAGAAGUCCCUCUAGUGGCUGUCGGAUAGACAGCCACUAGAGGAGGACUUAACCCUGCAAGGUAAAUAUUGCAGUUUAUAAAAACGACAAUAAUUACACUUGCAGGGUUAAGAGUGGUGGGAGUUGGCACCCAGACCACUCCAAUGGGCAGAAGUGGUCUGGAUGCCUGGAGUGUCCCUUUAAAUCUCGAGCGCGCAGCCCCGGAUCUGCCUGUCUCGAUCCUGCUAUGACAAGAUCAUACUACCGUUACA